rnacentral:pre_miRNA from 7 species
CUGUUAAUGCUAAUUGUGAUAGGGGUUUUGGCCUCUGACUGACUCCUACCUGUUAGCAUUAACAG